UUGAUCCCCGCUCAGGACGAACGCUGGCGGCGUGCUUAACACAUGCAAGUCGAACGAUGAAGCCCAGCUUGCUGGGUGGAUUAGUGGCGAACGGGUGAGUAACACGUGAGCAACGUGCCCGAAACUCUGGAAUAACCACCGGAAACGGUGGCUAAUACUGGAUAUGUGCCAGGGAGGCAUCUCCUCUGGUUGGAAAGAUUUUUCGGUUUCGGAUCGGCUCACGGCCUAUCAGCUUGUUGGCGGGGUAAAGGCCCACCAAGGCGACGACGGGUAGCCGGCCUGAGAGGGUGACCGGCCACACUGGGACUGAGACACGGCCCAGACUCCUACGGGAGGCAGCAGUGGGGAAUAUUGCACAAUGGGCGCAAGCCUGAUGCAGCAACGCCGCGUGAGGGAUGACGGCCUUCGGGUUGUAAACCUCUUUUAGUAGGGAAGAAGCGAAAGUGACGGUACCUGCAGAAAAAGCACCGGCUAACUACGUGCCAGCAGCCGCGGUAAUACGUAGGGUGCAAGCGUUGUCCGGAAUUAUUGGGCGUAAAGAGCUCGUAGGCGGUUUGUCGCGUCUGCUGUGAAAUCCCGAGGCUCAACCUCGGGCCUGCAGUGGGUACGGGCAGACUUGAGUGCGGUAGGGGAGAUUGGAAUUCCUGGUGUAGCGGUGGAAUGCGCAGAUAUCAGGAGGAACACCGAUGGCGAAGGCAGAUCUCUGGGCCGUUACUGACGCUGAGGAGCGAAAGCAUGGGGAGCGAACAGGAUUAGAUACCCUGGUAGUCCAUGCCGUAAACGUUGGGCGCUAGAUGUGGGGACCAUUCCACGGUUUCUGUGUCGUAGCUAACGCAUUAAGCGCCCCGCCUGGGGAGUACGGCCGCAAGGCUAAAACUCAAAGGAAUUGACGGGGGCCCGCACAAGCGGCGGAGCAUGCGGAUUAAUUCGAUGCAACGCGAAGAACCUUACCAAGGCUUGACAUAUACCGGAAACUUCCAGAGAUGGUUGCCCUGCUUGCAGUCGGUAUACAGGUGGUGCAUGGUUGUCGUCAGCUCGUGUCGUGAGAUGUUCGGUUAAGUCCGGCAACGAGCGCAACCCUCGUCCUAUGUUGCCAGCACGUUAUGGUGGGAACUCAUGGGAUACUGCCGUGGUCAACACGGAGGAAGGUGGGGAUGACGUCAAAUCAUCAUGCCCCUUAUGUCUUGGGCUUCACGCAUGCUACAAUGGCCGGUACAAUGGGCUGCGAUACCGCGAGGUGGAGCGAAUCCCAAAAAGCCGGUCUCAGUUCGGAUUGGGGUCUGCAACUCGACCCCAUGAAGUCGGAGUCGCUAGUAAUCGCAGAUCAGCAACGCUGCGGUGAAUACGUUCCCGGGCCUUGUACACACCGCCCGUCAAGUCAUGAAAGUCGGUAACACCCGAAGCCGGUGGCCUAACCCUUGUGGAGGGAGCUGUCGAAGGUGGGAUCGGUGAUUAGGACUAAGUCGUAACAAGGUAGCCGUACCGGAAGGUGCGGCUGGAUCACCUCCUU
rnacentral:rRNA from 1 species